GAUGAACGCUGGCGGCGUGCCUAAUACAUGCAAGUCGAGCGAACAGAUGAGGAGCUUGCUCCUCUGACGUUAGCGGCGGACGGGUGAGUAAAACGUGGAUAACCUACCUAUAAGACUGGGAUAACUUCGGGAAACCGGAGCUAAUACCAGAUAAUAUAUUGAACCGCAUGGUUCAAUAGUGAAAGACGGUUUUGCUGUCACUUAUAGAUGGAUCCGCGCCGCAUUAGCUAGUUGGUAAGGUAAGGGCUUACCAAGGCAACGAUGCGUAGCCGACCUGAGAGGGUGAUCGGCCACACUGGAACUGAGACACGGUCCAGACUCCUACGGGAGGCAGCAGUAGGGAAUCUUCCGCAAUGGGCGAAAGCCUGACGGAGCAACGCCGCGUGAGUGAUGAAGGUCUUCGGAUCGUAAAACUCUGUUAUUAGGGAAGAACAAAUGUGUAAGUAACUAUGCACGUCUUGACGGUACCUAAUCAGAAAGCCACGGCUAACUACGUG
rnacentral:rRNA from 1 species